AGUGAACGCUGGCGGUAGGCCUAACACAUGCAAGUCGAACGGCAGCACAGUAAGAGCUUGCUCUUACGUGUGUCGAGUGGCGGACGGGUGAGGAAUACAUCGGAAUCUACUUUUUCGUGGGGGAUAACGUAGGGAAACUUACGCUAAUACCGCAUACGACCUACGUGUGAAAGCAGGGGAUCUUCGGACCUUGCGCGAUUGAAUGAGCCGAUGUCGGAUUAGCUAGUUGGCGGGGUAAAGGCCCACCAAGGCGACGAUCCGUAGCUGGUCUGAGAGGAUGAUCAGCCACAAUGGAACUGAGAAACGGUACAGACACCUACGGGAGGCAGCAGUGGGGAAUAUUGGACAAUGGGCGAAAGCCUGAUCCAGCAAUACCGCGUGGGUGAAGAAGGACUUCGGGUUGUAAAGCCAUUUUGUUGGGAAAGAAAAGCAGCAGGUUAAUACCCCGCUGUUCUGACGGUACCCAAAGAAUAAGCACCGGCUAACUUCGUG
rnacentral:rRNA from 1 species